rnacentral:rRNA from 1 species
GAUGAACGCUGGCGGUAUGCCUAACACAUGCAAGUCGUACGAGAGUUUUUAACUCUAGUGGCGGACGGGUGAGUAACACGUGAGAAUUUGCCUUUAGGAGGGGGAUAACAAUCGGAAACGAAUGCUAAUACCCCAUAUGCUUUCGAGUGAAAUGGAUUUUAUCCGCCUAAAGAGAAGCUCGCGGCUGAUUAGCUUGUUGGUAAGGUAAGAGCUUACCAAGGCGACGAUCAGUAUCUGGUUUGAGAGGACGAUCAGACACACUGGAACUGAGACACGGUCCAGACUCCUACGGGAGGCAGCAGUGGGGAAUUUUCCGCAAUGGGCGAAAGCCUGACGGAGCAAUACCGCGUGAGGGAAGACUGCCUAUGGGUUGUAAACCUCUUUUUCAGGGAGGAAUAAAAUGACGUGUACCUGAAGAAUAAGCAUCGGCUAACUCCGUG